rnacentral:tRNA from 1 species
GCGAGAGUGGUGAAAUUGGCAGACACGCUAGACUUAGGAUCUAGUGCCGCAAGGUUUGGGGGUUCAAGUCCCCCCUCUCGCA